UCCACGCCGUAAACGAUGAGUGCUAGAUAUCGGGAGAUUUUCUUUCGGUUUCGCAGCUAACGCAUUAAGCACUCCGCCUGGGGAGUACGGUCGCAAGAUUAAAACUCAAAGGAAUUGACGGGGGCUCGCACAAGCGGUGGAGCAUGCGGUUUAAUUCGAUGUUACGCGAAAAACCUUACCAACCCUUGACAUGGUGGUCGCGGAUUGCAGAGAUGCUCUCCUUCAGUUCGGCUGGACCACACACAGGUGUUGCAUGGCUGUCGUCAGCUCGUGUCGUGAGAUGUUGGGUUAAGUCCCGCAACGAGCGCAACCCUCAUCCUUAUUUGCCAGUGGGUAAUGCCAGGAACUAUAAGGAAACUGCCGGUGAUAAGCCGGAGGAAGGUGGGGACGACGUCAAGUCAUCAUGGCCCUUACGGGUUGGGCUACACGCGUGCUACAAUGGUGUUUACAGAGGGAAGCAAUACGGUGACGUGGAGCAAAUCCCUAAAAGACAUCUCAGUUCGGAUUGUUCUCUGCAACUCGAGAGCAUGAAGUUGGAAUCGCUAGUAAUCGCGGAUCAGCAUGCCGCGGUGAAUACGUUCUCGGGCCUUGUACACACUGCCCGUCACGCCAUGGGAGUUGGUUUUACCUGAAGGUGGUGAGCUAACGCAAGAGGCAGCCAACCACGGU
rnacentral:rRNA from 1 species